UUUAAUAUAUCAAAAUGGAGUUUUAUGAAUUUAAUAACAAAGAUCAAUUAAUUCUGCUGACGAACCAGAACUGCUGUUAUCUUCAAUAUUUGGAUCUUCAACAGCACCACCAUCCGUACACUGACUUGUCAUUUUCUCUCGAUUUGCUUUCCUUCGGCCUGAUGAUGAAACAUUUAAUUCAAGAGUCCUAAGUUUUGACUGUAAAUGAGCAAUAAGAGCGUCUCUUCUCUCUACUUCCAUUGCCAUGCUGGAGAAUUGUGUCUCAAAUUUUGAAUGAAUUUCAUUAAUAUGCGUACGUAUCACAUUAUUGAUGCCAUUCAAAAUUUGAUUGUAACAGUCUUGACCCUCAAGCGAUCCUAGUGGGAAGAAAUUAAAAACAAAUUUAUUUAAUUAAACGUGUUUAAAUCAAUACAUUUUAAUAACUAUUGCAAACGUAAUCUCUGCAAAAGUGGUAAACCAGCACCAAUUGGACUUGGAGACUUGUCAUGCAAUUCUUCUUUUUCUUCGGCGGUUUCCUCCUUAUCAUCUGAUCGUACGCGGGACAUACGUUUUAACAUUGAUUUGCCGUUUUUAGGAGAUGUACUGUGUAACGGUUGCAUUUCUAAAGAUUCAUCGCUUCUUCUUGUUGUUCUAAUUAAAUAAUACAAACAAAAUUAUAUUAAUAUAUAUUUUUAAAA